AGAUCUCUAACAAUUUUACACAGUGACUGAUAAAGCCGUCUGGGAAUUCCUUUCAACAUUAAGUGAUUUAAGGCCCCUACAGAAACUUCAUUGUCCGUUACAAUAUAUAAAGAGUUUCUCAGUAUCGAGUAAUGCUACAACAGUGGCAAUCAGGUUGUUUAUUAUUUCCAGCGCGUGUUUCCUUUAAUCUGCAAAGCUUACCAGGAAUCCUAAUGUCUGGAGUCCUGGGGAGAACUAUAAAGAGAGGAAGCGAAAAUUAAUUAAGGACCGCAGCCUGUGUUUUCAAGGAACUAUCUGCGUUUUGAUUGUAAGGUUGAGAAGCUCACUUGUGGUUGCAGGAAACAAUUCCCAUUUGAUUGCGUUGCAGCCCUUGAGCACCCGCAGCCCGGCCACGCACGUGGGGACACGCUCCCAGCCUCCCACAUUUGGGGCUCUCCCCUUGUUAAGAUAGCAGAGGGGUGCCUACUCGAUGGCUCGGCAAGCCCCAAGUCAGGGGAUAUUUUCUGAUUGUCUCUGCUCUUGUCUAAACAUCUCACAGAGCCGACAGACAGUUCUUCAUUUCAAUUAGGGGAAUGCUGAUCGUUAGCUAACUAAUAAGGACCAAUUUUCUGUCACAACUAUUUCCUAAUUAAAUUCAAAACAGAGAUUUCUCACCCAGAUGGUCAGUGAUGCUACAGAUUUGUUUAAAUUUGGAAUCACAGUAACAAACUACUAAUUAGGGUUUGUAAAUACACCAAUUCCCCCAUGACUUAGUUGUUAGUAAUGCAUACAACUGGUUUAUUAAAGCACUAAUUGUGUCUGGCUUUGCUUGGGCCUAACACAUAAUCCACUUAUCACAUCCCGGUACCGACUCAUUUUGAAGGGAUUACGAAGGAAAUCAUAAAUGAGGUCUUGCGGCCUGCUCCCCAGCACCGCUAAUAGGGGUGGGCACGGGGUUCCGAGGCUCCCGGCCUUCUGCAGCCCAUGGCCAGCCCCAGUCUACAGACUCAAUGUGGGGAAGUCGGUGCCAUUUGCAUUCCAGCUUUGCCUGGUGGGCCAUUGGCACAAGCCUUGGCCACUGUGACACCACAGAGGGGAUCGUCAACCGCACCCAGUCCUGUGGCCCACAGCACCCACACAUCCCACCCUUGCUCCAUCCAAAAUCACCCCAAAUGGGCUUUGAUGGAAAUGUUCGUUAUCACGAGUGUUAAUUCGCUGCACGGCCCGGCCGGGCCUCGCAGGCUGAGCACCCCUCGAGUGCGCAUGAAGAGCAUGCAUAACCAGAUAUGUCUGAUUUGGUCCUCAGUGAGGAUGCCCACAGAUGAGCCUGCAAGAGGAAACCUCCAUCAAAGCUGCAGGCACUCUUGCUGCUUCCCAGCAUCUUGCAGCUUGCCAGAGUAAGCAUUGAUUUUCUGCCUGAAGUGAGGUUGCGCACGCCCACCCUGCUGCAGCGUGGGGACUCUGACACAGCUUGGGGUGCUGCAAGCUUGGGUACAGCCCCAGGAAAGCUUCCAGGCCUCAUCAAUCUGAUGGAGGUGUGCACAUGGCUGGGGAUGGAGUGCAGGAGCAUCGCUCCCUGCUGGAGCUUCCAGCCCCAUGCCAUGCCCCUGGGCAGCUUUCUGCAAGUUCCUCACGCCUCCUGUACACAACGCAAGCUUUCUGGUGAUCGUGCAGGCCACCAGGAGCUGCCCCAAGGAAAUCAGAAGUCAUCGCAAUAGAGGCACCAAGCAACUUGCCAACAGCAUCUGCCCCUCAAGGAACCACCAGGAGCAGAGAGCAUCUUAACUAAAUGGGACCAAGAAAUUCUUUUGAAGUUCUGAAGAAAACAGUCAAACAAUUAUCGAGGACAGCUCAAAUGCAUCUGUGCUCUCGCUGUAUAAUAUUCACGUGGUAUUCCAUUGUUGUUGAUUAUGACAAACGAAGCCAGAGAUCAAAAGGAACAAUAGCUUGUACUCAAGGAUAUCUGUAUAAUAGUUUUCCCGAAGGAUGUUCGUGUAGGUGAGGAAGGAGUGAAGCAUUGUUUCAUCAAAUGGUAAUUUCCCUGCAUCUCAAAGGACGAAUCCCAUUUGC